rnacentral:rRNA from 1 species
UAAUGAUUAAAAGGAACAGUCGGGGACAUUCGUAUUGCUGCGCUAGAGGUGAAAUUCUUGGACCGCAGUAAGACGAACAACUGCGAAAGCAUUUGUCAAGGAUGUUUUCAUUAAUCAAGAACGAAAGUUAGAGGUUCGAAGGCGAUCAGAUACCGCCCUAGUUCUAACUGUAAACGAUGCCAACUAGCGAUUCGUUGAUGUUAUUGGAUUACGAUUGGACGAGAAUCUUCCGGGAAACCAAAGUUAUUAGGUUCCUGGGGAAGUAUAGUUGCAAAGCUGAAACUUAAAGGAAUUGACGGAAGGGCACCACCAGGAGUGGAGCCUGCGGCUUAAUUUGACUCAACACGGGAAAUCUCACCCGGCCCGGACAUUGAAAGGAUUGACAGAUCGAGAGCUCUUUCUUGAUUCGAUGGGUAGUGGUGCAUGGCCGUUCUUAGUUGGUGGAGCGAUUUGUCUGGUUAAUUCCGAUAACGAACGAGACUCUGCCGUGUUAAAUAGUGAACAUCCAGACAUAAGUCGGUGGUCACUUCUUAAAAGGACAAGCGGAAAAGAACCGCACGAAAUGGAGCAAUAACAGGUCUGUGAUGCCCUUAGAUGUCCGGGGCUGCACGCGCGCUACACUGAUAAACUCAGCGCGUUUAUUUCUUCGUCUGUUGAGACGGAGUAAUCGAUUGAAAUCGUAUCAUGAUUGGAAUAAGGAAUUGAAAUUGGCAUCUUUGAACGAGGAAUUCCCAGUAAGUGCGGGUCAUGAGCUCGCACUGAU